rnacentral:rRNA from 1 species
CCUACGGGAGGCAGCAGUGGGGAAUUUUGGACAUUUUGGGGCAAGCCUAAGCCUACCAAGCCGCGGAAGGAAGAAGGCCUUAGGGUUGUUAUUUUUUGUAUCCUUGAUUUGUACAUCCGCUUUUUCCUGACUGACUGACCGUACCUGCAGAUUAGCACCGUUAUUUUCC